rnacentral:rRNA from 1 species
UGGGGAAUAUUGCACAAUGGGCGCAAGCCUGAUGCAGCCAUGCCGCGUGUGCGAAGAAGGCCUUCGGGUUGUAAAGCACUUUCAGCGAGGAGGAAGGUGGUGAACUUAAUACGUUCAUCAAUUGACGUUACUCGCAGAAGAAGCACCGGCUAACUCCGUGCCAGCAGCCGCGGUAAUACGGAGGGUGCAAGCGUUAAUCGGAAUUACUGGGCGUAAAGCGCACGCAGGCGGUUUGUUAAGUCAGAUGUGAAAUCCCCGGGCUCAACCUGGGAACUGCAUUUGAAACUGGCAAGCUAGAGUCUCGUAGAGGGGGGUAGAAUUCCAGGUGUAGCGGUGAAAUGCGUAGAGAUCUGGAGGAAUACCGGUGGCGAAGGCGGCCCCCUGGACGAAGACUGACGCUCAGGUGCGAAAGCGUGGGGCAGCAAACAGGAUUAGAUACCCUGGUAGUCCACGCUGUAAACGAUGUCGAUUUGGAGGUUGUGCCCUUGAGGCGUGGCUUCCGGAGCUAACGCGUUAAAUCGACCGCCUGGGGAGUACGGCCGCAAGGUUAAAACUCAAAUGAAUUGAC